GAUGAACGCUGGCGGCGUGCUUAACACAUGCAAGUCGAACGAUGAAGCCCAGCUUGCUGGGUGGAUUAGUGGCGAACGGGUGAGUAACACGUGAGUAACCUGCCCCCGACUCUGGGAUAAGCCCGGGAAACUGGGUCUAAUACCGGAUAUGACCUCGCACCGCAUGGUGCGGGGUGGAAAGAUUUAUCGGUGGGGGAUGGACUCGCGGCCUAUCAGCUUGUUGGUGAGGUAAUGGCUCACCAAGGCGACGACGGGUAGCCGGCCUGAGAGGGUGACCGGCCACACUGGGACUGAGACACUGCCCAGACUCCUACGGGAGGCAGCAGUGGGGAAUAUUGCACAAUGGGCGAAAGCCUGAUGCAGUGACGCCGCGUGAGGGAUGACGGCCUUCGGGUUGUAAACCUCUUUCAGUAGGGAAGAAGCGAAAGUGACGGUACCUGCAGAAGAAGCGCCGGCUAACUACGUGCCAGCAGCCGCCGUAA
rnacentral:rRNA from 1 species